CCUGCAGGUUGGAGGUGGAAGCUCCUGCUUUACCAACUUCAGAUAAUUUGUUACAGGCAUUUAUCACAUUACUAUGAGCUUUGUUGACUUCAGUGGAACUUGACGUGGGCAUUGAACUUUUCUGGAUCCAACUCACUGGGUUCAAAGUGUUCUUUGGUGUGCAAAUCUGAAAGCUUGAAGGGAUGCCAUGUGUCUUCAACCAAACAAGGGGGAACAGAGAAUCCCAAACCAUUAUUGUCUGUUGUGAUGUCUUGAUAAGGACUAGAUGGGAGCUGUUCACCUUCAAAAUCAUGGGGCCAGAAGGAUAUCAGAAAUGUACAAAGGGGGCUUUCUGCUACAGACUGUUGAGCCGACAGAGAAGGUUGAGAUGUGUAUACAAGGACCCAGGCUGUGCAGCACCUUG
rnacentral:lncRNA from 1 species